CCGGUUGAAGCAGAUGGUCACCCACCCAGAGCCUGGUUCUUCUCGAGGUUUCUGCCUCCUAAAAGGAAGUUUUUCCUCGGCACUGUCGCCAAGUGCUUGCUCAUGAGGGAAUUGUAGAUGAAGAGAAAUGGUACAAGAAAUGGGGUGUCAAUAUUUCAGAGUCAACCAAUUUUAACCUAGAUAGAGUAUUCACAACUCUAUGGUGAGUAAACCCACUCUAAGAGUUGAGUUAAAAGUCAGUGUAAAGUUUUGCAGAGUGAUGAUUACGCUUCUGUCUGUGUAACAUUGUGACUGCUGAGCCAUCACAUGCAGCGGGAGUUGACUGGACUGGUGCCACAGUCAGGCCAGUAACUUUAAUAUUCCCGUGUCCACAACACCGUUUAAUUAUUGUUUUUCGACUAAACGCGGUUUUAUAAUUUCAUAGAUAUAGUUUUCAUAGACGCUCUGUUGAAUGACACUGUCACUGCCACAAGGACUGCUGGAGUAUAAUGUCCGUUUACAGCGGGCAGUGAGCCGCUGUCGCCGAAGUUAAGUCUCUUCUCGUGCUACGAUUUUCAUAAUUGAGCUAACUGUGGCAGUGAGCUCUCAAAUUAGCAGUUUAUCUGAUAUCCCCCUGUUAACUUUGUGGGAAACUUAAGAUGAAGGUUAUGGAACAAUAUAAGCACAUUAAUAGGCUUAAUGACCUAACAUUCGAUGCCUUCAUGAAAGAAGGUUAGUGAGUACAUCAGGAUAGAACAAUAUCACAACUUUUUACUUGGUUGAUACACCUAAUUCAUCAUAAAACCAUUCCUUCUGAAUGAUCUGAGUUGGUCAUUGCUUCUGCUAUGCCUUAAAAUGGAUGGGAAUGACCUAUUGACUUAAGUUUCAACACAAUUAUUAUGAUUUCUGUAAUACCCUUUUUCUUCCUUUACUUCAGCGCGCCUAAAAUUUAACAUUCCAGAAAGCAGGCAGCCAGAUAUGAAGGUGCUGGACCAAUCUGAGACAGAAAUUGACAGAGGUCUUUGAAGAAAAGUGAAGGAGUCAUCAGGAACCCUCCAGUCAUGUUGAUCAACAAAGAACUUGAUGCUUCUCUAUCAUCAUCAUCAUCAUCAUGCUGAGCAUCAUCUGAAGAAACUAUUAUUCUGAACUUCACGAUGUGUGACCCUCCUGAUGAAGCAGCUGCUGCUGAAGGAAGUGAACCUAAAAGGCUGUGCCACAUAAAGAACGAGGCAAAAGCGGUGGCGGGCCAGGCCAUGGUCAACCUAGACCCCUUACCGCUGACGGAGUGUUAUCUGAUGAGGAGGUGGAAGCAGCUAUUGCUGUUGUGACACACACAAGAGAACAGCAGAUGUGUUCACAGUCUUCCCGAGAUUUCUAGACACACCGGGACUGAACAAGACUUCAGACUGCUGUUUGGGGAAGCCACAGCCAACAAAUUCUUGGAGAAGUGGCCCACCAGUCUCAAGACAAAAGUGAUAACAGAAAGCCGAGGACUGGUACCUACCACAGAGCUGCUGGAUUUCAGGCGCAACGCUGAGUCAACUGCUGUGGUUGAGAAUGGUGGGACAGCGACAUGUCUGCCAUCUUGCUGCAUCUCCUGCCACCAUCCGCACAGGGAAGGAAGAGGCCAGGGAAGAUGUCAGCACGUCAGGCUGUGGAGCACCUCAUCAGAUCAGAUACAUACAUCAGAAAGCUGGGACCAGUGUACAACAGCACCUUGAUAACGUCAGUCAAAGCAGCCAACCCUACCUCCUCGCUCAGGGGCCUGCAAGAAGCAGCAUUCACACCUUCUUUCCUGUGAAUUGAUAAGUAUGCAUUUCCAUGUAAGGCAGCAGGUUUCCAAAUGAGAUUGUUUGUCUGUAUGAGUUUGUUAAUGGCAGUUUGUGCUCAUAUGUAGUGAGUCCGUACUAUUUCAUCAAACUAUCAAAUUCAGUAUGUAUACAUCUGUCAUAUGUUACCACCCCUCAAAAAUGCCUGCCCCAUUCUUGACACCCAUAAAUAUUUUUCUAGAUUCGCCCCUGCAUUUAGACAUAUUCACUUAUAUUUACAUUAUUAGGAAAACGUCACAGGCACUAGCAAAUAAGUAUGUAGCACUUUUAUUCAUGCACAUGAAAAUGAAUUACUUCAUUCUUGGCUGGAUGCCUCUUCCCGGUAAACAGGUGGUCAUUUUCUCACCUGAACUUUAUCAGCCUUUCCCUGUUCAUUGAGACAUAUUUCAGAGGUGUCGGUAAAGGGAAACCUACAAGCCACGAAACACAUGAUUUCACUCAGAUAGCAUGCAGAGCAUGUGACGAGAGGCCGAUGUGCUUGCUUUAUAUAUCAGUGACAGUUCUGUAAACGUGACGUGGAAGCGUGAAGGCUUGUAAUCAUAACGUCACAGUUUCCUCCACCUGAAGUUUGAUAAAUAACAGAGUGCUGUAGUCUAGGUAAUAAGCUAUGUUACACAUUGGGAUGUGGAUGAAAUAAAUUUAACUGAAACAUACAUGUCUUGUACUGUUGCUCUUUGGAGAAUGUAACGUUAAGUUAGGCACCUCUGAAUGACAGCCGUUGACAGGAAGGAUUGAGGAACGAGGAAACGACAAGAGAAUUGUGAUGCACCCCUGGAUGAAUGAGAAUCUUCACGGACAGCCUGCUUGAAGAUGAUUAACAGCUGGUUGAAAAGCAGCUCUCUCCAUCAGGGAAUCGCACCCCAGCCUUCCGUGUGGCAAACGGAGACACUGUCCACUAUACUAACAAGAACAAUUUCUUCACGGAUAAUUCAUAAACUG